GUGCCAGCCGCCGCGGUAAUACCGGCAGCCCGAGUGAUGGCCGAUAUUAUUGGGCCUAAAGCGUUCGUAGCCGGCCAGACAAGUCCGUCGGGAAAUCCACGCGCUCAACGCGUGGGCGUCCGGCGGAAACUGCCUGGCUUGGGACCGGAGGACUCGAGGGGUACGUCCGGGGUAGGAGUGAAAUCCCGUAAUCCCGCACGGACCACCGAUGGCGAAAGCACUUCGAGAAAACGGAUCCGACAGUGAGGGACGAAAGCCAGGGUCUCCAACCGGAUUAGAAACCCGAGUAGUCC
rnacentral:rRNA from 1 species